rnacentral:lncRNA from 1 species
CUGGUUUCAGAGCUGGUCAUGGGUGCACCUCAACCACGCUCAAGGUCCUAAACGAUAUCUUAACCGCCAUCGAUAAGAAACAAUAGUGUACAGCCGUAUUCAUUGACCUGGCAAAGGCUUUUGACUCUGUCAAUCACCACAUCCUCAUCGGCAGACUCAACAGCCUUGGUUUCUCAAAUGAUUGCCUCGCCUGGUUCACCAACUACUUCUCUGAUAGAGUUCAGUGUGUCAAAUCGGGGGGCCUGUUGUCCGGGCCUCUGGCAGUCUCUAUGGGGGUGCCACAGGGUUCAAUUCUUGGGCCGACUCUCUUCUCUCUAUACAUCAAUGAUGUCGCUCUUGCUGCUGGUGAGUCUCUGAUCCACCUCUACGCAGACGACACCAUUCUGUAUACUUCUGGCCCUUCUUUGGACACUGUGUUAACAACCCUCCAGACGAGCUUCAAUGCCAUACAACUCUCCUUCCCUGGCCUCCAACUGCUCUUAAAUACAAGUAAAACUAAAUGCAUGCUCUUCAACCGAUCGCUGCCUGCACCUGCCCGCCCGUCCAGCAUCACUACUCUGGACGGUUCUGACAUAGAAUAUGCGGACAACUACAAAUACCUAGGUGUCUGGUUAGACUGUAAACUCUCCUUCCAGACUCACAUCAAACAUCUCCAAUCCAAAGUUAAAUCUAGAAUUGGCUUCCUAUUUCGCAACAAAGCAUCCUUCACUCAUGCUGCCAAACAUACCGUCAUAAAACUGACCAUCCUACCGAUCCUCGACUUCGGCGAUGUAAUUUACAAAAUAGCCUCCAAUACCCUACUCAAUAAAUUGGAUGCAGUCUAUCACAGUGCCAUCCGUUUUGUCACCAAAGCCCCAUAUACUACCCACCACUGCGACCUGUAUGCUCUCGUUGGCUGGCCCUCGCUUCAUACUCAUCGCCAAACCCACCGGCGCCAGGUCAUCUACAAGACCCUGCUAGGUUAAGUCCCCCCUUAUCUCAGCUCACUGGUCACCAUAGCAGCACCCACCCGUAGCACGCGCUCCAGCAGGUAUAUCUCACUGGUCACCCCCAAAGCCAAUUCCUACUUUGGCCACCUCUCCUUCCAUUUCUCUGCUGCCAAUGACUGGAACAAAGUACAAAAAUCUCUGAAACUGGAAACGCUUAUCUCCCUCACUAGCUUUAAGCACCAGCUGUCAGAGCAGCUCACAGAUCACUGCACCUGUCCAUAGCCCAUCUAUAAAUAGCCCAUCCAACUACCCCUUCCCCUACUGUAUUUAUUUAUUUAUUUUGCUCCUUUGCAACCCAGUAUUUCUACUUUACACAUUCAUCUACUGCAAAUCUACCAUUCCAGUGUUUUACUUGCUAUAUUGUAUAUACUUCUCCACCAUGGCCUAUUUAUUUCCUUUACCUCCCUUAACUCACCUCAUUUGCUCACAUUGUAUAUAGACUUAUUUUUCUGCUGUAUGUUUGUUUUACUCCAUGUGUAACUCUUUGUUGUUUGUGUCGAACUGCUUUGCUUUAUCUUGGCCAGGUCGCAGUUGUAAAUGGGAACUUGUUCUCAACUUGCCUACCUGCUUAAAUAAAGAAGCCGACCAAGAAGGGACUUGUGAAGGUAACCAAACCAACAGGAGGAAAGAAAGGUAUAAAAUAAAUAAUGACCAAGAAGGCUGCAAAAAUACCCUCACAAAAUAUGAAAAGAAAAGUUUGUCAACUCAAUGGAACACAGCUCUCCUUUCUCUCCUCAUUACUAUCUGUGUAUUACUCCCCCUUUCUCUAAAUGGAACUCUGACUUCAUCAUACUUAUAUGAAGGACUGGUUCUAAAUGUAUAUAAACUGUCAACGUUAAUUGAUCCAAGGACAAACUCAAAUGUGUUGCAAAUCUUUGUCUGCCCCAUAAAAGGGUCUUGUUCAAAAUCGUCUUUUGUCUAACUUGUAAAUUAAAAUAUUACCACAAAGUAUAUUUCAUGUCUUUAAUUUGUUAUCCACAAUGGCAUUGUUUUCCAUUAGCGCUACUCAUUUUCAGCCGGCU